rnacentral:ncRNA from 1 species
CGUCUCCUCCAACCCCCUAUGGUUUGGAUUCAGCCCGCGCCGCAAGGCUCUGCGGGCUUUUUUUU